rnacentral:rRNA from 1 species
AUUUACAGCCAAAGCACUCUGAAUGUGCCAGAUCUUAUCUGCUCUUGGGAGCUAAGCAGGGUCAGGUCUGGUUAGUACUUGGAUGGGAAAAAUAUCACAUGCCACCUAUUCCUGAGGAAACCUGCCUAAUC